rnacentral:rRNA from 1 species
AUUGAACGCUGGCGGCAGGCCUAACACAUGCAAGUCGAACGGUAACAGGAAGAAGCUUGCUUCUUUGCUGACGAGUGGCGGACGGGUGAGUAAUGUCUGGGAAACUGCCUGAUGGAGGGGGAUAACUACUGGAAACGGUAGCUAAUACCGCAUAAUGUCGCAAGACCAAAGAGGGGGACCUUCGGGCCUCUUGCCAUCGGAUGUGCCCAGAUGGGAUUAGCUAGUAGGUGGGGUAACGGCUCACCUAGGCGACGAUCCCUAGCUGGUCUGAGAGGAUGACCAGGCACACUGGAACUGAGGCACGGUCCAGACUCCUAAGGGAGGCAGCAGUGGGGAAUAUUGCACAAUGGGGGGAAGCCUGAUGCAGCGAUGCCGCGUGUAUGAAGAAGGCCUUCGGGUUGUAAAGUACUUUCAGCGGGGAGGAAGGGAGUAAAGUUAAUACCUUGGCUCAUUGACGUUACCCGCAGAAGAAGCACCGGCUAACUCCGUG